GUUAUUAUUUUUGCUUGACGGAUGCCUGGACAAUAAAAAAAAGGACGCUUGGCAGCGAAAAUUGAAGGUAGUUUAAAUUUUAACAUUGAUCUUCAAGUCUCCUAAAGUAAAUCUUUAAAAAAGUUUUAUUUAUUACUUGGUGAACUGAAACAUCUUAGUAACCAAAGGAAAAGAAAUCAAAUAAUGUAGAGAUUCCGUAAGUAGUGGCGAGCGAACGCGGAGCAGGCCUAAAACAUAGAAAAAAGCUUUAGAAUUAUGUUGAAUUCAAGACCAUAGAGGGUGAUAGUCCCGUAUAAAAAGCUUUAAUCUUAAGUUUAUGAGUAAUACGUUUUAGUUAAAAUUCGUGUGAAUAUAGGAGGCCCACCUUCUAAGCCUAAAUAUUUUUUAUUGAUCGAUAGUGAACAAGUACCGUGAGGGAAAGGUGAAAAGAUAAUCCUUAUUAAGAAUUAUUGAAAAAAUAAUUAUUUGAAACUAAGGGCAGUGAAAUAGAAACUGAAAUUAAGCAAAUAAAAGCUUUUUGCGCUAUUUAAAAUAGUCAAAAUAUACCUUUUGUAUAAUGGGUCAGCGAGUUAAUUAAAAAAGCAAGCUUAAGUUUAAUAAUGUAGGCGUAGCGAAAGCAAGUUUUAAAAAGCGUUAAGUUUUUUUAAUUAGACCCGAAACCGGAUGAUCUAGUUUUGUUCAGAUUGAAACUAUUGUAACAAAUAGUGGAGGAUCGAACUCGUUUGUGUAGCAAAACAUUGAGAUGAAAUGAAACUAGGGGUGAAAGGCUAAUCAAAUCCGGAUAUAGCUGGUUUUCCACGAUAUCUAUUUAAGUAGAGUGUCUUCUUUUAUUUUUAAGGGUAAAGCAACUGUUCUGGCUAGGGGGGUUUUCGGACUUUACCAAACCUAAAUAAACUCAGAAUAUUAAAAAUUUAUAGGAAGAUAAACGAACUGCGGGUGCUAAGAUUCGUAGUUGUAAGAGAAAAAGCUCAGAUCCUAAGUUAAGGUCCCUAAAAAUAAUUAAGUGUAAAAGGAAGUGUUGUAUUGUGAUAGCUAAAAGGUGGGCUUAGAAGCAGCCAUCCUUUAAAGAAAGCGUAACAGCUCAUUAGUUUAUUUUGUAACAUUUCCAAUAAUGUAAAGGGUCUUAAAUUAUUUACCAAAACUAGGAAUUGAUUUAAGAAAAAUCAAUGGUAGUGGAACGUUCUAUAUGGUGUUGAAGCUUUGUUGUAAAAUAAAGUGGAGCUAUUAGAAUUGAGAAUGCUGACAUGAGUAACUAUAAACAGUGAUUUCAUAUAGUAAAAUAUAUUUAAAUCCACUGUCGCCGAAAAUCUAAGGUUAAGCUUUUAAUUUCAAAAAGAAAUGAUACAAGUCGGCCCCUAAGCUAAAAUCUGAAAAGAUUUUUGUGAUGGGUAAUUUGGUUAAAAUUCCAAAACUCAAUAAAUUAGAUCUCAGAUAGAAAUAAAAAUCUAACUUAAAAAAGCAAAAAGUUAUUAUUUAUUUUUGUCUCAAGAAAAGUCUUUUAUUGUUAAAAACCGUGCUUAAUCCGAAUCAGGUAGAUUGGUAGAGUAUACUAAGGCGUUGAGAUAACAAUAUUGAAGGAACUCGGCAAAUUGACUCCGUAACUUCGGGAAAAGGGGUACUUUUUUUGGGAUUUUUUCACAAAAAAAGUGGCACAUAAGAGGGGGUAGCGACUGUUUAUCAAAAACACAGGACUCUGCUAAAUUGUAAGAUGACGUAUUGGGUCUGACGCCUGCCCGGUGCUGGAAGAUUAAUAAAACAAGUGCAAGCUUGGAAUAAAAGUCCCAGUAAACGGCGGCUGUAACUCUAACGGUCCUAAGGUAGCGAAAUUCCUUGUCGAGUAAGUUUCGACCCGCAUGAAUGGCGUAACGACUUCCCCACUGUCUCCAGUAUUGACUCAGUGAAAUUGAAUUUUCCGUGAAGAUGCGGAAUUCUUGCAGCUAGACGGAAAGACCCUAUGCACCUUUACUAUAACCUUUAAUUGCUCGACAAACAAAAUUCUGCAGAAUAGUUGUUAGUUUAUGAUGCCUUAACGCAAGUUAAUCGCGGAGACACAAUCUGAAAUAACAUCGCUUUUUCGUUUCUCGAGCUAACUUUUUAAGGACAGUAUAUGGUCGGUAGUUUGACUGGGGCGGUAGCCUCCUAAAGAGUAACGGAGGUGUACAAAGGUAGAUUUGGUUUAAGUUUUAUCUUAAGCUACAAGUGUAAUGGCAAAAAUCUGCUUAACUGUAAGAUCGACAGAUCGUACAGAGACGAAAGUCGGUCAUAGUGAUCCGGUGAUUCUGUGUGGAAAGGUCAUCGCUCAACGGAUAAAAGGUACGCUAGGGAUAACAGGCUAAUGACUCCAGAGAGUCCAAAUCGACGGAGUAGUUUGGCACCUCGAUGUCGGCUCAUCACAUCCUGGAGCUGAAGAAGGUUCCAAGGGUUCGGCUGUUCGCCGAUUAAAGUGGUACGUGAGCUGGGUUCAGAACGUCGUGAGACAGUUCGGUCCCUAUCUACUGCAAGUGUAAAAGAAUUGCGAAAACCUAACUUUAGUACGAGAGGACUGAGGAGGAAAUACCACUGGUGUAUCGGUUGUUUUGCUUAAAGCAUAGCCGAAAAGCUACGUAUUAAUUUUAGAAUUGCUGAAGAAAUCUAAGCAAGAAAAUUAUUUCAAAAAUAAUUCUUUUUAAAAGCCGUUAUAGAUUAUGACGUUGAUAGGUUUUUGGUUAAAAUAUUGCAAAAUAUGGGCUAAAAAAUACUAAUUGCUUUUUAAACUUUAUUUU
rnacentral:rRNA from 1 species